rnacentral:rRNA from 1 species
GAAAAGAAACCAACAGGGAUUGCCCCAGUAACGGCGAGUGAAGCGGCAAAAGCUCAAAUUUGAAAUCUGGCAUCUUUGGUGUCCGAAUUGUAAUUUGGAGAGGCAACUUCAGGCAGGACCCAGUCUAUGUUCCUUGGAACAGGACGUCAUAGAGGGUGAGAAUCCCGUUCUUGACUGGCUGUUCCUGCUAGUAUGUAGUGCCUUCUACGAGUCGAGUUGUUUGGGAAUGCAGCUCAAAAUGGGUGGUAAAUUUCAUCUAAAGCUAAAUAUUGGCGAGAGACCGAUAGCGCACAAGUAGAGUGAUCGAAAGAUGAAAAGCACUUUGAAAAUAGAGUCAAAAAGUACGUGAAAUUGUUGAAAGGGAAGCGCUUGAGACCAGACUCAGCCUUUGGCAAACAAGUGUCCUUCUGGGCAGUGCACUUGCCUUGGGUUGGGCCAGUAUCAGUUAGGAUGGUAGGAGAAAGGCUAGGGGAAUGUGACUCCUAUUUGGAGUGUUAUAGACCCUGGUGUCAUGCUACCCGUCCUGACUGUGGACCGCGCAUUAGCUAGGAUACUGGCGUAAUGGUCUUCA